UCAAUCUGGUUUGUCACAAGAAAUCGUACAAGGCACAAUUCCAGUGAAAUCUUAUCCCAUCAGCUCCUUAAACUUGCGCAGGGUUCAUCAUAAAGCAGAAUGUGGCCGUCAGAUCGGCACACAGAAAAAGAGUCACCCUGUUGAAAGAGCAGCAGCACACAAAGA